AGCGAACGCUGGCGGCAGGCCUAACACAUGCAAGUCGAACGAACCUUUCGGGGUUAGUGGCGGACGGGUGCGUAACACGUGGGAACGUGCCUUUAGGUUCGGAAUAACUCAGGGAAACUUGUGCUAAUACCGAAUGUGCCCUUCGGGGGAAAGAUUUAUCGCCUUUAGAGCGGCCCGCGUCUGAUUAGCUAGUUGGUUGAGGUAAUGGCUCACCAAGGCGACGAUCAGUAGCUGGUCUGAGAGGAUGAUCAGCCACAUUGGGACUGAGACACGGCCCAAACUCCUACGGGAGGCAGCAGUGGGGAAUCUUGCGCAAUGGGCGAAAGCCUGAAGCAGCCAUGCCGCGUGAAUGAUGAAGGUCUUAGGAUUGUAAAAUUCUUUCACCGGGGACGAUAAUGACGGUACCCGGAGAAGAAGCCCCGGCUAACUUCGUG
rnacentral:rRNA from 1 species